rnacentral:rRNA from 1 species
GGUCUAAUUAAAACAGAGCAUCGCGUAGCCGGCCCAGCUGCACAGACGCGAUGAUUUCCGCCCAGUGCUCUGAAUGUCAACGUGAAGAAAUUCGACCAAGCGCGGGUAAACGGCGGGAGUAACUAUGACUCUCUCUCGUGGAGCCUGGUGCGUUAUGGCCUGCUGUCUUUUCUGUUGGUGAGUGCACCACCAGGUU